CUCGGCAAAUCACUCCCGUGCCUUCGGUAUAAGAGAGACCCCUGAUGGUGAUGGAACUUGCUUCCGGAGCUUUCGGGGGUGGCACAGACCAGGGGGUAGCGACUGUUUACCAAAAACACAGGUGCAUGCGAAGGCGCAAGCCGCUGUAUAUGCACUGACGCCUGCCCGGUGCCGGAAGGUUAAGAGGAUCCGUCAGCCCUUUGGGUGAAGCGGUGAAUUCAAGCCCCGGUAAACGGCGGUGGUAACAAUAACCAUCCUAAGGUAGCGAAAUUCCUUGUCGGGUAAGUUCCGACCUGCACGAAUGGCGUAACGACUUCCCCACUGUCUCGACCAGGAGCUCGGCGAAAUUGCAGUACGAGUAAAGAUGCUCGUUAAGCGCAGAAGGACGAAAAGACCCCGGGACCUUUACUAUACCUUGGUAUUGGCGUUAGGCGCGGAUUGUGUAGCAUAGGCGGGAGGCUUCGAAGCGCGGGCGCCAGCCCGUGUGGAGCCGCAAGGUGAAAUACCGCUCUGUUCUCGUUUGACGUCUCACCUCGAACAGUCAUCCUGUUCAGGGACAGUGCCUGGCGGGUAGUUUAACUGGGGCGGUUGCCUCCCAAAGAGUAACGGAGGCGCUCAAAGGUCCGCUCAGCCCGGUUGGCAAUCGGGUUUCGAGUGUAAUCGCACAAGCGGGCUUGACUGCGAGAACGACGGUUCGGGCAGGGACGAAAGUCGGAGAUAGUGAUCCGGUGCCGGCGCACGGGCGCGGCAUCGCUCAACGGAUAAAAGGUACCCCGGGGAUAACAGGCUGAUCAUUCCCAAGAGUCCAUAUCGACGGGAUGGUUUGGCACCUCGAUGUCGGCUCGUCGCAUCCUGGGGCUGGAGCAGGUCCCAAGGGUUCGGCUGUUCGCCGAUUAAAGCGGCACGCGAGCUGGGUUCAGAACGUCGUGAGACAGUUUGGUCUCUAUCCUCUGCGCUCGUUGGAAUCCUGAGGAGGCCUGCCCAUAGUACGAGAGGACCUGGGUGGACGGACCUCUGGUAUGCCGGUUGUCGCGCCAGCGGCAUGGCCGGUUGGCUACGUUCGGGAGGGAUAACCGCUGAAAGCAUCUAAGCGGGAAGCCUGCUCCAAGAUUAGGAUUCCUUGACGCUCCCCGGAGCGUUUGUAGCCCGCAUGUUGAACACGUGUUCGAUAGGCCGGAGGUGGAAGUCCCGCGAGGGAUGGAGCCGACCGGUACUAACGGGCGAAC
rnacentral:rRNA from 1 species